rnacentral:rRNA from 1 species
AUUGAACGCUGGCGGCGUGCUUAACACAUGCAAGUCGAUCGGUAACGCGGGGGCAACCCUGGCGACGAGAGGCGGACGGGUGAGGAACGCUUGGGAAUCUGCCCUUCAGCGGGGGACAACACGGGGGAAACUCGUGCUAAUACCGCAUACGCUCCACGGAGGAAAGCCGGGGACCGCAAGGCCUGGCACUGAAGGAUGAGCCCAAGCCGGAUUAGCUAGUUGGCGGGGUAACGGCCCACCAAGGCGACGAUCCGUAGCUGGUCUGAGAGGACGAUCAGCCACACUGGGACUGAGACACGGCCCAGACUCCUACGGGAGGCAGCAGUGGGGAAUAUUGGACAAUGGGGGAAACCCUGAUCCAGCGACGCCGCGUGGGUGAAGAAGGCCUGCGGGUUGUAAAGCCCUUUCGGUAGGGACGAAAGCUCUCGACCUAACACGUCGGGAGGUUGACUUAACCUACAGAAGAAGCACCGGCUAACUCUGUGCCAGCAGCCGCGGUAAU